UACGUAGGGACCAAGCGUUGUUCGGAUUUACUGGGCGUAAAGGGCGCGUAGGCGGCAAUUCAAGUCAGUUGUGAAAUCUCCGAGCUUAACUCGGAACGGUCAACUGAUACUGUUUUGCUAGAGUGCAGAAAGGGCAACCGGAAUUCUUGGUGUAGCGGUGAAAUGCGCAGAUAUCAGGAGGAACACCAAUUGCGAAGGCAGCUCGCUGGGACGUUACUGACGCUGAGGCACGAAGGCCAGGGGAGCAAACGGG
rnacentral:rRNA from 1 species